rnacentral:rRNA from 1 species
GAUGAACGCUGGCGGCGUGCCUAAUACAUGCAGGUCGAGCGAACAGACGAGGAGCUUGCUCCUCUGACGUUAGCGGCGGACGGGUGAGUAACACGUGGAUAACCUACCUAUAAGACUGGGAUAACUUCGGGAAACCGGAGCUAAUACCGGAUAAUAUAUUGAACCGCAUGGUUCAAUAGUGAAAGACGGUUUUGCUGUCACUUAUAGGUGGAUCCGCGCCGCAUUAGCUAGUUGGUAAGGUAACGGCUUACCAAGGCAACGAUGCGUAGCCGACCUGAGAGGGUGAUCGGCCACACUGGAACUGAGACACGGUCCAGACUCCUACGGGAGGCAGCAGUAGGGAAUCUUCCGCAAUGGGCGAAAGCCUGACGGAGCAACGCCGCGUGAGUGAUGAAGGUCUUCGGAUCGUAAAACUCUGUUAUUAGGGAAGAACAAAUGUGUAAGUAACUAUGCACGUCUUGACGGUACCUAAUCAGAAAGCCACGGCUAACUACGU